UUUCCCCUCUUCCCCCUCUCUCCUGCCAGGAUUGUCCUUCCUCCAAAACCUUUUACCCUCCGGUAUGCUCCACUUCUUCUUCAGCCCAAACCCCUUCCUCUGAACAUGCCCCAGAAGCUCCAGCCUCUCACUAAUGAUGCAUCACCUCUGUCUUGGCUCUGCUGAAACACUGUCGCCUCAUGUGUUGGCUCUCCUUGCCUCAUACCUGCUGCUGUCACACUACUGCCUGACAAGCUAAGCAAUAAAUGCCAAAACCACGAACCUGCUCUUGUGGGAACUGCAGAAGCCUUGGCUCAGUUUGCACUUCCUACAAGUGUGCCCAGAUGGGAGAAAAAAAAAGGGCACAUCAGAGGAAAAAACGGGAUCUGUGGUGGCUCCCUUCUUAUUUGGUGGUUUGGAGCAGCUUUUCAGACUCAUAAAAGCUCGAUAUGCAAAAUGGUGGUUUGCAUAUUUCAUUGAGAUCAUAUGGAGAUGGGACGAUUCAAGCUGUCAUCAGGACCUGAAGUUUUCGGAGAAGGUUCUACCCAAGGCAGCAGCUCUCCGGAUAUUCUUCUGAUCCCAGCUGUGACUGUGUGGGUUUAAAGAUGAACAGCUUCUCCCCAUAUAAAGCCCUGCAGAUGAGAACAAACCAUCCAAGCUGUUUGUGGGACACCAGCACUAUGUGCAGAACUGGGCAAAUUUUCCUGUUACGCAGGCAUUUUCCCACUGCAUUAGGAAGAACCACAACACUCAAAUAGUUUUCCUAGGGGGAGCAAAACACAAAAGUGAGAUCCAGCUAUCCUAAAAUUGCUGAUCAGGGCGUUUACCUCAGUUACCGAACAUCUGCAUUCAAAUCCUUUCUUUGCCUCUUUCACACCACAGAUGGGAAUGUGGGUUUCCCACAUCCCAGGCUUGUGGUUUUACCACCAGGCUACUUGUUCUUUGAAAGCAGGUCUUUCUUUUGGUUUUUACAUCUGCUCAUGUGAGGCAGCUUACUUGAUAAGCAAACUGAAUCACUCAGUUUUAACUCUAAUUUGCGAGAUGAUUUCAUGUUACACCAUCACACGUAUUUUUGUGAGUCUCUUUUUAUUGAGGCUGUUGGGAAAUAACCUAAUAACAUCUUUCACAAAAAUGACCAGGUUAGUAACAACUAAAUCCCUGGGAGAAGUGGGGGUCACAAAGAGUUUCCUGAUUUAAUUUUCUCUGUAGUUUAUGGUGGUAUAUACCCUCCCACUGUAUAUAAGUAUCCUUACAGAAGCACCCACAGGAGUCCACGGGACUUUUGUCACUGAUUUCAGUGACAGAAACUACUAAUUUCAAGAAUACAAGAAUUCUGAUCUUUUGCAGUCUCUGCCUGAACAUGCAACAUUUUUCACACAACAGCUCUAAGAGGUGUUUGUUGCCCACCCAAGUCUUAACACGUUAUCACAAGGGUGUAGCGCUGAACACCACCACAGCGGCUUGGGCUUAUUUAUGUGAAUUAAACACGGGAACACACUUCCUAAAUGAGACAGCGUAGUCCCGGAGGGUUAAUGCUUUCGAUGAUCUGCUGAGUACCGCCCAAAAACAGAGCCCCUUAGAUGCGCACUGAAAGGCAAGGAGCUGGAAGUUGUCACAGGCAGUUGCAUAGAACAAAGCUCCAGCCUCUUUAAAUUAAGAUUCUUGCACACCAGAUGCAUAGACACGACAUAUUUAUUUCUGACCGUCCAAUUGAAAGAGGGAAAACAAAGCUGGCCAAAUUAAUCCCUCGCAUGGGCCGCUCGACACCACUGGAGUUACCCUGGGAAUAAUCUUCAUUAGGAAUAAGGUUCACUCCCUUUGGCCGAGACCUGGCGACGUGUUUCAAAGAGACUGCUCGGGAUGUAACACAGGCACACGACAUUAUCAUACAUUCAUUGACACAUUGGAGUCUUUUGUUUACAGGGAAUUACGUUUUUGACCUUUUAGUAAGGAAAAAGGCUUUGCUAUGCAAUUGUUAACUUGCUUCCUAAAAAAAACCAACACCCUUGUUUAUUAACAGAGCAUCCCAGUAGUUAUAAUAACAACAAAACCUUGCGCUUCAUUUUGAAACGAGCGAAACUUUAAGGCGCGCCCGAAGUUUCCCAGCAAUUCCACAAGGCCUCUGCUGACACCUUUGUGACCAGCUACAGAUAAAAACGUUGGGGUUUUAUGUUUA